rnacentral:rRNA from 1 species
AUUCCAGCUCCAAUAGCGUAUAUUAAUGUUGCUGCAGUUAAAAAGCUCGUAGUUGGAUUUGUGGUGGGCCCGGUGGCUCGGCCUUAGUUGGCCGUUGCUGUUUUGGGUCCGCCAUCCUUGGGUGGAAUCAGUGUGGCAUUAAGUUGUCGCGCUGGGGAUGCCCAUCGUUUACUGUGAAAAAAUUAGAGUGUUCAAAGCAGGCUUACGCCGUUGAAUAUAUUAGCAUGGAAUAAUGAGAUAGGACCUUGGUACUAUUUUGUUGGUUUGCGCACCGAGGUAAUGAUUAAUAGGGACAGUUGGGGGUAUUCGUAUUCCAUUGUCAGAGGUGAAAUUCUUGGAUUUCUGGAAGACGAACUACUGCGAAAGCAUUUACCAAGGAUGUUUUCAUUAAUCAAGAACGAAAGUUAGGGGAUCGAAGAUGAUUAGAUACCAUCGUAGUCGUCA